UUAUCUCUUACUCCCACGCCACACUCCCACCUAAACCUAGGUCACCCGCCGCCGCCGCCGCCGCCGUUCUCUGACCGGCCUGCCGAUUUGCUCGCGCUGCCUCCUUUCCCAUCAACGGUGGCGCUUCCCGAAGCUUCCUUAUACCAUGUGGUGCUUCCCCACGGUCCAAGCCCAAGGUGCCGCCUCAUCGCCGCAGCAGAGGAGCCCCUCCACCGCCCGCAGCCGAGGAGUCAAGUCGACCGCCGUCGAGGAUCCGCGCCGCCAACCGCCAGCGUGUAGUCGACCGCCGCCGAGCAGCCUCGCCGUACUCCCUCAAGAUCCAGGCCACUGUAGGUAAGAUUCAUCAGGCCGAUGUGCUCAUGCCUCUGCUUCUCUGACUACCUGCAGUGCCACCUGAAGCUUCGAUCUAACCCACGGUGACGCUGUCCGCAACUGAGGAGCCACCCUGCCCUCUGCAUUCAGAGGUUCUGCCCCGCCAUCCCUUUUGCACCACCGGCGAGGGCCCCAAAAUUCAGCCCCUGCAGGUAAGCUUGAAAACAGAUCCAUCCUUUUCUUUUCUGCUUCAUAUAUUAUUUCUCGUUUAUCCAUGAAUGUGAUUGCCCCUGAAAUCUUUUUGGCUCAUCGAUUAUCUGAACAAGAUCAUGUCAGUCUAUUUGAGAUUGGAGAUUUCAGAGUACUAAUCAUCCAUCUCUCAUUAUACAAUUAGGGUGAAUUAAGUAUUUAGUUGAUUUCUGGACAGAUUGAAGUAUAUAUAUUUUACUGACUAGUGUUACGUGCUACUCCCUCCGUUCCAAAAUAGAUGACUCAACUUUGUACUAACUUUAGUACAAAGUUGGGUUUGUACUAACUUUAGUACAAAGUUGGGUCAUCUAUUUUGGAACGGAGGGAGUAUGUUAUUAUAUGUUUACGUAAUUCUUACAGUCCCAUCUACAUUUUUUAUUUACUUAGAUCUGUUGCAACUUGCAACUCUUCGUUCUUGAUUAGAACCAUCAUGUUAUUUAAUGUUGUUUUUCUUGUUGUUGUUUUGGGAUGUGUUCUGCAACAGCUUCUGUUUCUGCAACAGCUUCUGUUUCAGAGAAUGCUUUCUAAAAGACUGUGCACGACGGUUAGUAGAUUUGUCCACCAUGUCUUGGCCUGGGUGUUUUGUGGAUUCAACGAGAUUUCGUUAUAUUUCACUUGCUCUUCCAUGGGUGUCGUGCCUAUCUAGAAACAUGUUACUGGUUUUAGUUCAGGCUAGCUUUCUGCUCAUAGGUAGAACUUUGCAUCUGAUGUCAACUUUAAUGAGGUUUGACUAUUGUUGGGGAUGUUCUGAAGCUUGUGGACUGUAUGCUUGUAGCUGAGCUCAACCUCCGAGGCCUCUCCCUUCUCUUAUCACAUUUAUAUCCAGCAUCCAGUCUCAGGUUUCACUAUUUACUAAUUACUACUACCGUUGAAACGAUUGGGUCUCAAUCUUCCUAUUUCCCUUUGCAGCCUGCAAGGAUCCCCAACCAUGCUGGGUGCUAAUGCCUGAGUCUAGUAAAGCAUCAUUGUGCACUUCUGGAACAACUAUCAUGGAAGUAUGGAACUAAUGCUAGCAAAACUCUCUGUGUUGUCGCCUGAGGAAAAAGAUGGAACUUUAUUUUCCUGCCCAACAUUAUUUUGGAAUCUCCUUUUUUAUAUGCCAUGCUUUUUCAAGCUAGUACAGAUAAAGAUCUAGCCACAAAGAUAAGGUAAUUUGUUUCUAAUCUACUACACCUUAUAUAUUCAGAGGUACAAAGGGAGCUUCUAUAUAUGCAAUUAUUCUCAAUUGCAACAUAAUUGUUCAGUUGAGCUACUGAACUUGCUGACUGGAAAAUGCUCAGGGGUAACAACUUGAAAUUUUUCUAGGUAACCAAAUAAGAUAUGCUGACGGUUUAAAAGUUGUUGUUUUAGCCAGACCACAUCCUAUUUGUGUCAGCCUACUAUAUUCUACAGUUACACUAAGAACGGAAGUACACCAGUACCAGUUUGUUUAGGUCACUACAACAUUGUGGCUAUAGUGGGUGGAUUAGGAUGCAACAUCUGUUUGUAUCUGCUGGUAUGGCAAUUUUGCUGCUUGCUAGGAGAUGUUCAUCUCCAGCGUUUAUUACAGUUUCAAAAAGCAGUUCAAUCACCUCGUAAUAGUUAUGGUGUAGUAAGAUUUGGGUUAAAUAUCGGUUUGAUACACGUUGAAUUUUGAGUUAGUUUCCAAAUAGAAGUUGUAGUGUACUUCUUAAGCUUUCUAGAGAGUAUUUAUUUGUGUAUUUUUACUGGGCAGUUUGAGAGCAGCGACCACCUCAAGCUUGCUGUCCAAAAAUUAGUAUCUCUAUUCGGACAUGAUACUACAAAAGAAACAAUGCAUUGAUACUUUCCAAGUUCCUUGUAUGUUUGCUUGCUAUUUACAUAUUUAACCUUCCAAAAUAGGGCCACCAGUCAUGUCAGGAAUGCCAUUGUAUUAUUACCAUACUUGAACUGCUGGCCGACGAUGGUAAUUCAGACAGCUGUAUUAUUUGCAUUGCUAAACUAUCCUGGUAUAUAUUUAGGAUCCUACGCUACUUAUUUAGAUUACAAAUAAAUUUUUCAUGUUAAUCUUUAUGUCAGUAUAUGUGCCAGCUUACACCCAGAUUUCUUUUGCCUUAUGCAGAAACUAUUGGAUACUUUACAUCAAGCUUGACCAAGUAUGUCCCUUGUUGCUGUUGUUAUACCUGGCGAUAGAGCUCCAUUGGUUUCUUCAAAGGUGGCAUGCCCUAAUUGAUUUAUUACUCUGUAGAGUGUGUAAAGGUUUUUCUAUUUAUGACUAUUUGGUGCUUUUAUCCAGCAAGGCAGUAAGUUCUUUUGCAGGGACAAAUGGCAGAAAAUAGCAAGUCCACAAGUUGAUCUAAGAUGCUCCGUGAUCGCUUUUGUUGAUAACAUGGUUGACACCUUUUGUUCAUACAAAAGUUCAUGUUGGCUUGGUGAUCGAAGAAUUGGUCUCUGCCAUCAAAUUUGUAGUAGUCAGUGAUCGAACAAUUGUCUCUUAGGAUCUUAGCCAUCAAAUUUUGCAACAACUUGUCUUGUAUGUCAAACUGAUGUAUUUCCUUGAUGGUUGUAGCUAUCUUGAGUGAAGAAAACAAAUGAAUCUUUAUAUAUGUUGAAUGAAUGUAUGGAUGAAUGGCAGUUUGUGAUGAAUAGAAGAGUGCAAUUGUGUA